rnacentral:misc_RNA from 1 species
CUGAGAGCCUCUAUAGUUUUCUCGGAAAGAGAGGAAAAAGAGGCAGGAAAUUGCUGCAAUAAAAAUAAGAAUUUGCUGCUCUCCAUCGAUCUAUGCAACCGUGGCUCAACGCUUCGAUUUCAAAAUUAUUGUGCGUUGUUGAUACCAUUAAUAUCAAAAUUUAUUAUGAACUGUUUUGACAAGCUUCGCUCUUCUUCCAAUCACAGCCGCUUCAUUGCCGGCCUUCUCAUCUUCAUUCUCUACCAUUCUUUCCAGUUAAUUUCCAAUUUCUUGAUUCCUAUACACCCUUAAUUUCAAUUUCAAUCUUAUUCUUCGCAAUUUUCAUCACCACACCUCCCAAACACAAUCAAACAGUCCGGCAAGCAAUUUCUUCUUCUGUUCCUUCUCAAUCGAUUUCGAUUUCUGUGCAUCUUUUCUCUCGAUCUCGAAUGGAUACCAAUAUCACGUCUCUCCACAAACUCCUGCUCGACGGCACUUUUGCUUCGCACAUUGAGAGGAAAAACAGUUCAAUACCUACUGUCAUUGUGAUUGGUGGUGGUAUUUCGGGGCUCGCUGCUGCACGUAUCCUAUUCGAUGCAUCUUUUAAGGUAAUCUUGCUAGAAUCACGGGAUAGACUUGGUGGUCGUAUUCAUACUGACUAUUCAUUUGGUUAUCCAGUGGAUUUGGGAGCAUCAUGGUAACAUCUCCCUUGUUACCCCCUCCUUUCUCUCUCUUUCUCUCUCAAUUUCACUGCAUCCCUUGCUUAUGAUUGAGUUUAUGCAUACAAAAGAACAAUUCCUUUAUGAUGUGUUAAGUUAGCAUACUCGUAUUUUUUUUCAUACCCCCAUUUAUUUGAUCUCUUGUUGGCCAAAGUCUCAUAAACCUGCACUUUUCUAUUUGCAUUUGUUGCUUCAUACCAUUGGAAAUAAUAUAUGCACCAGAUGCCAUGAAGAGAGAGGAAAAAGAGCAAGGAGCUUAUUUGAAAUCUUGGGUCUUGAUCCUCUGUUAUUUUUUGUAAACUUGAACUAAAUCAUCAAAAAUUUUUUAGGGGUUGCUUAAUCGUUUUGGAUUGUUUUGGAUCUAUGAUAAUAUCAAAGGGUUAUAUGUUUUGAAAGGUCAUGGAGGAGUAUGAUUUUCUUUAAUCUCAACUUAAUCUUAGUCUUGAUUGAGUUUAGAACUUUCGAUAGGUUAAUGGAUCCUUUUCUCCAUUCUAUUCUGUUUUGGGCCAACUGGAUUGGGAGCUACCGUAAAGCGAAAACAAAAUUUUGUCUAUAUUUUUCUUGUCAUUUUUUUAUGCAUCUUCUUGGUUCCUACUUCCUACUGCUUAAAUUCAAUCAGAUAUUAGCAGUGGCGCAUCUCCUAUCUAUUAGGUAUUCUCAAAUGAUCUUCUCCCAACUUAUCCUCAAUGGGUUUCAUAUCUGCCCAUGAAUACAAUUAUAUUUGUUGUAGUUCUUUUUUCCCCCCCAAAUUCUUAUACUAUUUCAGAAUCACCUUAAUGCAUCUGAUUCGUAAUAGGAUCUGCUAUAUUGAGUGGUUGUAUAUGAAGUUUGACAACAUAUUUCCUCAAAUAUUACAUGGUCUUCUUUGUUUCCUUUUUUGAGUGCUUUUCUUGGAUGCUUUAGCAUGGUCUGCUUUUGACCGAUGUGCUAGAUGUAUCAAGUGUUCUUCUCAAGUGCACAAGUGACAAGUGUAGUUCUAGUGGUUUGCAUAUAAGAGGGAGUAAUUGUGCCACAAAUAAGAUUUCCUGCCUUAAACUGCUAGUUAACUAUGAUCCAAGUCGAGGACUAUUAAUAAACAUUAAUAAAUUUUGUAAAUAGCAUUUGUUUCCUGUGCUUAUUUGGAUAUGUCGGUGCAUGAAUUUCCCAAUAUUGAAAUUAGUGAUAAAUUUGAAAUUCAAUGGUUGGCUGGAUAACCUUUACCUGUACCAAAAUGUGCACAUUUAUGGUUGCCUAAAGGAAUCCAAUAUUAACUUCUUGAUGCAUUAUAUACAGGAAAUUAAUAAAUUUGUUAACUGAAUUGUGCUCUGUGAUGAGUUCCUUUUUGACCCACAUAAUCCAUUUUAAUGAUGCCAUGAUGAAGUGAAUAUUUCUACUAUAUGUCAACAAAGUCUGUGCAGCUUCACUCAUUUCGGCAAGUUAAUCUCCAAAAUUCCUACUUCGAUUUCAUUGAUUUCUUUAUUUAUUGGAGAUUUAUUCGAUCACUAUAUUUCCUCAAUGCGGAUAGAAGAUAAGCACUAUCAUUAAUAAAAGUAUAUUCAUUUGUGAUGGAUUCUCUUAAGUCUUAUAUAAACUCUUGCAACCUUAUUCAGAAAAUAAUUUAUUCAACUAAGCUGACAGAGGAACAGUUGGUAUCCAUUAUUUCCAAAUUUUACAAGGGACCUCAUUGUGACAAUCACUUGUGCCUUGGAAGCCUAAUGGAUUUAUCAUGCAGAUUAAGAAAGGAUUCCUAUUUCUUGUUUGUGUUUCAUGUUGAAUCUUUAAGCCUUUUUUUCUUUCUUUCUUUUUCCCUUGCUUGUACUUCCUGUUCACUGGGUUUUCCUUCAUUUUUUUGCUGUUUAUAAUAUUUAAUAGAUGCCUUACUGCUUACCAUUGUGAAGUAACUCUUCAGUAGAUGAAGUAUAACGCAACAUGUACUAUGGUUGCCAUUCAGGCUACAUGGCGUCUGCAAUGAGAAUCCUUUGGCUCCACUCAUACGCUCUCUAGGGCUCACACUAUAUCGGACAAGUGGUGAUGAUUCUGUAUUGUAUGACCAUGAUCUAGAAAGUUAUACUCUUUUCGAUGCGGAUGGACAUCAAGUUCCACAACAGCUAGUCAAAGAAGUUGGAGAUAUAUUCAAGAAAAUUCUUAAAGAGACGGAGAGAAUAAGAGAUGAACACACUGAUGACAUGUCAAUUCUCCAAGCAAUUGGGCUUGUGUUAGAUAGGCAUCCUGAAUUAAGGCAAGAAGGACUUGCAAAUGAAGUGUUGCAAUGGUAUAUUUGUAGAAUGGAAGCUUGGUUUGCAGUUGAUGCAGAUAUGAUAUCACUGAAAACAUGGGAUCAGGCAAGUUCCAUAUAUCAUAAUGUUGGUAAUGCUUGUUUGUAUAAAAAUAGACCAGGGAAUUGGACCAUAACAAAAAAGAUGGACAUGAUUUAUGCUUGGGAGUGUGGGAGGCUCUGCCUUGGAUUGAUCUUGAAAAUAGCUGAGAAAUUUAGUGUUUCCAGAGAAAAGACAUGUAAAAAUGAAUUGUUCCAUUUCUAAUGUUUUCUUUUUGGGACUUUCCACAAUUUUGCUAUAAUUUCACAUGUGAUCACCUAAGUUAUGAUUAAAUUUCAAUGCUGUCACUUUACUUUAAUUUACAACAUAAAAUCAUUCUUUACUUUGUAUUUCAAUAAAGGAACUAUUGCUAGUUUUUGAGAUCUGGUUAGAAUUCAGAUGUUUUAUAUGUUGGGCAAAAAGGAAAGUCUAUAACCCAUCCAUAAUUAUAAAAUUAGUUACACAAAUUUUUAUUUAACUACCAUAUUAGAAAUCCUUUUGAAAUUCUGCUAAAAUCUAAUAAUAAUGUUUUUAUCAAAAUACAAAUUAAAGUUUAGUGAUUUUUAUGUUACAAACUGAAAUUAAGUGACUUUGCUAACUUCAGGAUUAUGUGUAAAAUUAAGCCCACAAUUCUAUAAUGCAUGACAUUAUAUUGGUAAGGCGUGGAACUUGUUUACGGUAUAGAACUUCCAUGACUGUCUCUAAGGGGACACCCAAGUGGUAUAGGCUUGGAAUUUCAUAAGGAUAUCUCAUGUUUAAAUUUGCUGGAAUCAGGGUAGCAAGGGGUGUCUCAAAGGUGAGCACUAAUUUCAGUUGUAUAGUUCAUCCAAUGUACUGGGAAAAAAAGAAUCCUGAUGUUCUUCUGACAUGAUAUAAGUUCUCAUUGUUAUAUCAACUCUAAAUUGUAUAUCAUUAAAAUAUAAGAAGUGAAAUGAAAAUUUUAGACACUGGAAUUGUAAUGUAUAUUUAUAGAUUCAUUUCUUCUUCUUCUUCUUCCCCCCUUUUGAGAAAUCUUCUUCUUCUUUUCCCCUCUUUUGAGAAAUUGCAUUUCCAUAUGAAGCUUUUAUUGGUUACGGUCACUUUGGGUUUAUGUUAUGCAUAGUUACAUAGUUAAGGUCGUUUCUUGUGGUACAGGAGCAUGUUCUUUCUGGUGGGCAUGGACUUAUGGUACAAGGCUAUGAUCCUAUAAUAAAGGCUCUUGCAAAAGACAUUGACAUACGCUUGAAUCACAGGUAUGGCUCUUAUUUCAGUAACGAUUUCAGUUGCAUUGUGACUCGACAUUUAGAAAUGAUCUGUGUAAAAGGACAUGAAAAAAAAAUAAAGGAAGGCAGAGGGUAGGAGUUUUAUUAUGAUGAUACGUGUAAGCUUCCUUCUUCACAUGUUGCUUUCAUAUCUUUUAUUUUUUCCUCCAUUGUAACUAUAGAUUCUGGUUCAUAUCUUGUGUGAAGUCAUGUGGUCUCUAUUUUAGUAUUGGGUGUGAGUCCUGAUGCCUAAUUCUUUAUUCUAAAGGACAAUUGCUCAAAUUAACUGUGGAAUUUUAAAAUGAGGUUGUACAUUUCUCUAGCAGCUUAGAACUAGAGUAAGUUGUUUAGUAUUAAUGCUUAUUUGACCAAGUGGUUUAGUAUGUUGUUUUGCAACACAUCAAGAGCAAAAAUUGUCUUGAAUUCUUUUUAUUCAGAUUGGAUAAGACCUGCCGAUUUCGAGAGGUGAUGUUUUCACUUUCUAACUCAACCCAAAAUUUUUUCAAAGCAAUUGCUUGUUUAUAAUUUCUUCGGCACAUUGAGGUAUGCUUGUGAUUUAAUAUGUGAAGAAGCACAUGUAAGAUAAUUUUAUAAACCAAAUAUUGUCUGAACUGCUUUCCUGGUUUUGUUUGUUGGGCUGCUUGUGUGGGUAAGCAGUGGACAAAUGGGAUGACAGACAGAGAUACACCGAUGUCCAUGCAUCAUUUACAUGAAUGCUUUCUGAAUUGUCCCAGUAACAUUAGUUUCAGAACUUGAGAAUUGAAAUUUUUAGUAUGUAAAUGGAUGUGGAGACAAUUAUCGAGAAACUUACAUUGUAACUAUUUAAAAAAAAAUGUUAUAAUGAAAAGGCUUGAGUAAUUGCAUGUAAAUUUUGCGCGGGAUUUAUUUAUUUAUUUUUAUGAAUUCAUGGAUAUAUGGCUGUCACUUGAUUUUCUCUCGCUUCCAUGUGCUUGCAAUUGUUUAUACAAAUAAUAAUGUUUCAUUCUUUUCUGAAUCUUGAUACGUAGAGUUACAAAAAUAUGCUAUGGGCCUAAUAAGGCAAUGGUCGUAGUUGAGGGCGGAAGGAACUUUAUAGCUGAUGCUGCUAUAGUUACAGUACCACUUGGGAUUCUUAAAGCCAAUUUAAUUCAGUUUGAACCCAAGUUGCCAGAAUGGAAGGUUGCUUCAAUUUCAGAUAUUGGUGUUGGCAGUGAAAAUAAAGUUGCAUUACAAUUUGAUAAAGUAUUUUGGCCAAAUGUGGAAUUCUUGGGCAUUGUUGCACCCACAUCUUAUGCUUGUGGUUAUUUUCUCAAUCUUCACAAGGCAACUGGCCAUCCUGUACUUGUCUAUAUGGCCGCUGGUAGGUUUGCAUGUGAUCUUGAGAAGCUAUCUGACGAGUCUUCUGCAAAUUUUGUGAUGUUACAGCUGAAGAAAAUGUUUCCUGAUGCAACAGAGCCUGUAAGUCAUUUUUUUCCGCUCUUUUAUGAUUUAGUUUCAAGAGAAUUCAUAUGCUAUAUCUACUUGAGGCUAUCCACUUGAAAUAUAUAGCUUUUAAGUAAUAAAAGUGAUGGCGUAUCAGUGAACCUAUCGUGUGUUGUUGGGUACUAUGCUGUAAAAAGGGAAUUGUGUAGGUGUAGUUCAUCUGGAUAUAGAAUCGAUGAUUUUUAAAGUCGUCCUUUAUUUCUUUAUGCAGUGCCUAUGACAUGCAUUUUUCUGCAUAUCAUUUGUUCUGGAUUUUAAACAAACUAGUUUUGAUGCUUUAUAUCAACUUCAUGACUUGCCAUUUGGUUGGUGUGCUGGAGUAGGUUCGAUAUCUCGUAUCGCGAUGGGGAACAGAUCCAAACUCACUUGGUUGUUAUGCAUACGAUGUGGUCGGAAAGCCAGAAGAUGUCUAUGAGAGGCUUCGUGCACCCUUGGGAAAUCUUUUCUUUGGAGGGGAAGCCGUUAGCAUGGAGCACCAGGGUUCUGUCCAUGGAGCUUACUCAGCUGGUGUCAUGGCCGCUGAGAACUGUCAGAGGCAUGUAUUAGAGGGACUUGGUAACCUAGAGAAACUCCAGCUAGUCCCUUUAAGGUGUGAGAUUCAUGAAGCUGCAUUUCCACUCCAAAUCUCAAGAAUGUAAUAUUUUCAUUCAGUGAAGUAUGAGUAGGAUUCAUGAAUGUUAAUCGGUAAAAUUUAAGUUAGUUUUUAUUUUUUUGAUUCCUUAAAAUUGAAGAUUUUUGCAACAGUUAAAUCUUUAUUAAUAAUUAUGAUUGCCUUUAUGUAGC